AAUAGAUACCCUGGUAGUCCAUGCCGUAAACGAUGUCUACUAGCCGUUGGGGCCUUUGAGGCUUUAGUGGCGCAGCUAACGCGAUAAGUAGACCGCCUGGGGAGUACGGUCGCAAGACUAAAACUCAAAUGAAUUGACGGGGGCCCGCACAAGCGGUGGAGCAUGUGGUUUAAUUCGAUGCAACGCGAAGAACCUUACCUGGUCUUGACAUAGUAAGAACUUUCCAGAGAUGGAUUGGUGCCUUCGGGAACUUACAUACAGGUGCUGCAUGGCUGUCGUCAGCUCGUGUCGUGAGAUGUUGGGUUAAGUCCCGCAACGAGCGCAACCCUUUUCCUAUUUGCCAGCGGGUUAAGCCGGGAACUUUAAGGAUACUGCCAGUGACAAACUGGAGGAAGGCGGGGUACGACGUCAAGUCAUCAUGGCCCUUAGACCAGGGCUACACACGUGCUACAAUGGUCGGUACAAAGGGUUGCUACCUAGCGAUAGGAUGCUAAUCUCAAAAAGCCGAUCGUAGUCCGGAUUGGAGUCUGCAACUCGACU
rnacentral:rRNA from 1 species